CUGCUGCCUCCCGUAGGAGUCUGGGCCGUGUCUCAGUCCCAAUGUGGCCGGUCGCCCUCUCAGGCCGGCUACUGAUCGUCGCCUUGGUGAGCCUUUACCCCACCAACUAGCUAAUCAGACGCAGAGCCAUCUUACACCGAUUUACUCUUUUCACUCUGUUUCAUGCGAAACUGGGUGCUUAUGCGGUAUUAGCAGCCGUUUCCAGCCGUUGUCCCCCUGUGUAAGGUAGGUUCUCUACGUGUUACUCACCCGUCCG
rnacentral:rRNA from 1 species